UAUGAUCCAGAGUACCACGGGACACGUGAAACCCUGUGGGAAGCAGGAGGGACCACCCUCCAAGGCUAAAUACUACCUAGUGACCGAUAGCGUAUAGUACCGUGAGGGAAAGGUGAAAAGAACCCCGGGAGGGGAGUGAAAUAGAACCUGAAACCCUGCACUUACAAGCUGUGGAAGCACAUUUCUUGUGUGACCGCGUACUUUUUGUAGAACGGGCCAACGAGUUACGUUAAGUAGCAAGGUUAAGCACUUAAGGUGCGGAGCCGUAGCGAAAGCGAGUUUUAACUGAGCGUUCAGUUACUUGACGUAGACCCGAAACCGGGCGACCUACCCAUGAGCAGGAUGAAGCGAAAGUAAAAUUUCGUGGAGGUCCGAACCCACGAGCGUUGAAAAGCUCGGGGAUGACUUGUGGGUAGCGGUGAAAUUCCAAUCGAGCCCGGAGAUAGCUGGUUCUCCCCGAAAUAGCUUUAGGGCUAGCCUCAAGGUGAGAGAUACGGAGGUAGAGCACUGAAUGUCCUAGGGGGUAUUGCACCUACCGAAGACUAUCAAACUCCGAAUGCCGUCAUCUUAUACUUGGGAGUCAGACUGUGGGUGAUAAGAUUCAUAGUCGAAAGGGCAACAGCCCAGAUCGUCAGCUAAGGUCCCUAAAUGUAAGUUAAGUGGUAAAGGAUGUGGGAUUGCACAGACAACCAGGAUGUUGGCUUAGAAGCAGCCACUCAUUCAAAGAGUGCGUAAUAGCUCACUGGUCGAGUGAUCCUGCGCCGAAGAUUUCCGGGGCUAAAACUUACUACCGAAGCUACGGCAUCAGUAAUGAUGGGUAGGGGAGCUUCCCAUACGGGUUGAAGCAUGACCGUAAGGACAUGUGGACAGUAUGGGAGUGAGAAUGUUGGCAUGAGUAGCGAGAUGUGGGUG
rnacentral:rRNA from 1 species